rnacentral:rRNA from 1 species
AAAGGAAUAGACGGGGACCCGCACAAGCAGCGGAGCAUGUGGUUUAAUUCGAAGCAACGCGAAGAACCUUACCAAGGCUUGACAUCCCCUUGACCGGUGCAGAGAUGUACCCUCCUCUUCGGAGGCAAGGGUGACAGGUGGUGCAUGGUUGUCGUCAGCUCGUGUCGUGAGAUGUUGGGUUAAGUCCCGCAACGAGCGCAACCCUUGUCCUUAGUUGCCAGCAUUUAGGAUGGGCACUCUAAGGAGACUGCCGAUGACAAAUCGGAGGAAGGUGGGGAUGACGUCAAAUCAUCAUGCCCCUUAUGUCUUGGGCUACACACGUGCUACAAUGGUCGGUACAACGGGCAGCUAAAGAGCGAUCUGGAGCGAAUCCCAAUAAACCGAUCCCAGUUCGGAUUGCAGGCUGCAAUUCGCCUGCAUGAAGUCGGAGUUGCUAGUAAUCGCGAAUCAGAACGUCGCGGUGAAUGCGUUCCCGGGUCUUGUACACACCGCCCGU